rnacentral:rRNA from 1 species
GUAGGUGGCAAGCGUUGUCCGGAAUUAUUGGGCGUAAAGCGCGCGCAGGCGGUCCUUUAAGUCUGAUGUGAAAGCCCACGGCUCAACCGUGGAGGGUCAUUGGAAACUGGGGGACUUGAGUACAGAAGAGGAAAGCGGAAUUCCAAGUGUAGCGGUGAAAUGCGUAGAGAUUUGGAGGAGCACCAGUGGCGAAGGCGGCUUUCUGGUCUGUAACUGACGCUGAGGCGCGAAAGCGUGGGGAGCAAACAGGGAUUAGAUACCCUGGUAGUCCACGCCGUAAACGAUGAGUGCUAAGUGUUAGGGGGUUUCCGCCCCCUUAGUGCUGCAGCUAACGCAUUAAGCACUCCGCCUGGGGAUACGGCCGCAAGGCUG